rnacentral:rRNA from 1 species
GGAAUUUUCCGCAAUGGGCGAAAGCCUGACGGAGCAACGCCGCGUGAGGGAUGAAGGCCUCUGGGCUGUAAACCUCUUUUAUCAAGGAAGAAGAUCUGACGGUACUUGAUGAAUAAGCCACGGCUAAUUCCGUGCCAGCAGCCGCGGUAAUACGGGAGUGGCAAGCGUUAUCCGGAAUUAUUGGGCGUAAAGCGUCCGCAGGCGGCCUCGUAAGUCUGUCGUUAAAGCGUGGAGCUUAACUCCAUUAAGGCGAUGGAAACUGUGAGGCUUGAGUGUGGUAGGGGCAGAGGGAAUUCCCGGUGUAGCGGUGAAAUGCGUAGAUAUCGGGAAGAACACCAGUGGCGAAGGCGCUCUGCUGGGCCAUAACUGACGCUCAUGGACGAAAGCCAGGGGAGCGAAAGGGAUUAGAUACCCCAGUAGUC